rnacentral:pre_miRNA from 1 species
UAACCAGGAACACCCCAUGAUUCCCAGUUGCCUUUGGUUCUGCUCACGGGAGUUCUUGGUUUCA